rnacentral:rRNA from 1 species
GGAAUCUUCGGCAAUGGACGAAAGUCUGACCGAGCAACGCCGCGUGAGUGAAGAAGGUUUUCGGAUCGUAAAACUCUGUUGGUAGAGAAGAACGUUGGUGAGAGUGGAAAGCUCAUCAAGUGACGGUAACUGCCCAGAAAGGGACGGCUAACUACGUGCCAG